AAGACUAUAGACCUGCGGAGUACCUGCGGAAGGAUCAUUAUCGUAUUGUAACAAUUGGGGGGGCCACCGUGGGCUGUCGCUGACCCUUUGAAAGGGGGGUCGUGCACGCCCCCAUAGUGUCAUCCUCAUACAAUCCAACUCACCUCUGUGCAUCACCGCGUGGGUUCCUUUCUGGGUCGAGUCAGACUGGCUCAGAAAAAAGGGGCUUGCGUUUUCCACACAAAUACCCUUAUAAACCCA
rnacentral:misc_RNA from 1 species